rnacentral:rRNA from 1 species
UACGGGGGGGGGCAAGCGUUGUUCGGAAUUACUGGGCUUAAAGGGCGCGUAGGCGGUCGGCAAAGUUAGGGGUGAAAUCUUUCGGCUUAACCGGAAAAGUGCCUUUAAAACUAGUCGACUCGAGCGAGAUAGGGGCAACUGGAACUUCCGGUGGAGCGGUGAAAUGCGUUGAUAUCGGAAGGAACGCCGGUGGCGAAAGCGAGUUGCUGGAUCUCUUCUGACGCUGAGGCGCGAAAGCUAGGGGAGCAAACGGG